GCGCUUGCUUCAGCAGCACAUAGGAGAAAAUUGGAAUGAACCAGAGAAGAUUAUCAUGGCUCCCUGCACAAGCAUGACACACAACUUCUCCAGAGAGUGUAGUAUGAUUCUU
ensembl:snRNA U6 U6 spliceosomal RNA